ensembl:snRNA U6 U6 spliceosomal RNA
GUUCUCACUUCGGUAGCACAUAUACUAAAACUGGAAUGAUACAGAGAAGACUAGCAUGGCCCCUAAACAAGGAUGACAUGCAAAUUCGUGAAGUAUUCCUAUUUUUA